CAGUACAAGACUCUUGAUUUAGGAUGAGAAUAGUUUGAAAAACUUAAAAGCGAUGUGCUAAACAAACCUUUGGAGGUUAAUUAGCAGUAUGACUAAUUUAGUCAUUGCUGCCAGUCACCUUCAAACAAAC
ensembl:snoRNA